rnacentral:rRNA from 1 species
UACGGGGGGGGUAAGCGUUGUUCGGAAUUACUGGGCGUAAAGGGCUCGUAGGCGGCCAACUAAGUCGGACGUGAAAUCCCUCAGCUUAACUGGGGAACUGCGUCCGAUACUGGAUGGCUUGGAUUUGGGAGAGGGAUGCGGAGUUCCAGGUGUAGCGGUGAAAUGCGUAGAUAUCUGGAGGAACACCGGUGGCGAAGGCGGCAUCCUGGACCAAUAUUGACGCUGAGGAGCGAAAGCCAGGGGAGCAAACGGG